UUGCUUUUCUUAGCUUAGUGGCGAACGGGUGAGUAACGCGUGAGUAACCUGCCCUGGAGUGGGGGACAACAGUUGGAAACGACUGCUAAUACCGCAUAAGCCCACGGCCCGGCAUCGGGCUGAGGGAAAAGGAUUUAUUCGCUUCAGGAUGGACUCGCGUCCAAUUAGCUAGUUGGUGAGGUAACGGCCCACCAAGGCGACGAUUGGUAGCCGGACUGAGAGGUUGAACGGCCACAUUGGGACUGAGACACGGCCCAGACUCCUACGGGAGGCAGCAGUGGGGGAUAUUGCACAAUGGGGGAAACCCUGAUGCAGCGACGCCGCGUGGAGGAAGAAGGUUUUCGGAUUGUAAACUCCUGUCGUUAGGGACGAUAAUGACGGUACCUAACAAGAAAGCACCGGCUAACUACGUGCCAGCAGCCGCGGUAAAACGUAGGGUGCAAGCGUUGUCCGGAAUUACUGGGUGUAAAGGGAGCGCAGGCGGACCGGCAAGUUGGAAGUGAAAACUAUGGGCUCAACCCAUAAAUUGCUUUCAAAACUGCUGGCCUUGAGUAGUGCAGAGGUAGGUGGAAUUCCCGGUGUAGCGGUGGAAUGCGUAGAUAUCGGGAGGAACACCAGUGGCGAAGGCGACCUACUGGGCACCAACUGACGCUGAGGCUCGAAAGCAUGGGUAGCAAACAGGAUUAGAUACCCUGGUAGUCCAUGCCGUAAACGAUGAUUACU
rnacentral:rRNA from 1 species